CUACGGGUGGCUGCAGUGAGGAAUUUUGCGCAAUGGGGGAAACCCUGACGCAGCAACGCCGCGCGAGUGAAGAAGGCUUUCGGGUCGUAAAGCUCUGUCAGAUAGGAAAAAAGUUCAUAUGUAAAUAGCUUAUGAAUCUGAUGGUACUAUCAGAGGAAGCACCGGCUAACUCCGUGCCAGCAGCCGCGGUAAUACGGAGGGUGCAAGCGUGUUCGGAAUUACUGGGCGUAAAGGGCGUGUAGGCGGUAUGGUAAGUCAGAUGUGAAAGCCCUGGGCUUAACUCAGGAAGUGCAUUUGAUACUGCCAUCCUUGAGUAUGGGAGAGGAGAGUAGAAUUCCCAGUGUAGAGGUGAGAUUCGUAGAUAUUGGGAGGAAUACCCGUGGCGAAGGCGACUCUCCGGACCAAUACUGACGCUGAGACGCGAAAGCGUGGGGAGCAAACAGGAUUAGAUACCCCAGUAGUC
rnacentral:rRNA from 1 species